ACGAACGCUGGCGGCGUGGAUAAGACAUGCAAGUCGAACGAGAGAAUUGCUAGCUUGCUAAUAAUUCUCUAGUGGCGCACGGGUGAGUAACACGUGAGUAACCUGCCCCCGAGAGCGGGAUAGCCCUGGGAAACUGGGAUUAAUACCGCAUAGUAUCGAAAGAUUAAAGCAGCAAUGCGCUUGGGGAUGGGCUCGCGGCCUAUUAGUUAGUUGGUGAGGUAACGGCUCACCAAGGCGAUGACGGGUAGCCGGUCUGAGAGGAUGUCCGGCCACACUGGAACUGAGACACGGUCCAGACACCUACGGGUGGCAGCAGUCGAGAAUCAUUCACAAUGGGGGAAACCCUGAUGGUGCGACGCCGCGUGGGGGAAUGAAGGUCUUCGGAUUGUAAACCCCUGUCAUGUGGGAGCAAAAUAAAAAGAUAGUACCACAAGAGGAAGAGACGGCUAACUCUGUGCCAGCAGCCGCGGUAAUACAGAGGUCUCAAGCGUUGUUCGGAAUCACUGGGCGUAAAGCGUGCGUAGGCUGUUUCGUAAGUCGUGUGUGAAAGGCGCGGGCUCAACCCGCGGACGGCACAUGAUACUGCGAGACUAGAGUAAUGGAGGGGGAACCGGAAUUCUCGGUGUAGCAGUGAAAUGCGUAGAUAUCGAGAGGAACACUCGUGGCGAAGGCGGGUUCCUGGACAUUAACUGACGCUGAGGCACGAAGGCCAGGGGAGCGAAAGGGAUUAGAUACCCCUGUAGUCCUGGCAGUAAACGGUGCACGCUUGGUGUGCGGGGAAUCGACCCCCUGCGUGCCGGAGCUAACGCGUUAAGCGUGCCGCCUGGGGAGUACGGUCGCAAGAUUAAAACUCAAAGAAAUUGACGGGGACCCGCACAAGCGGUGGAGUAUGUGGCUUAAUUCGAUGCAACGCGAAGAACCUUACCUGGGCUUGACAUGUAAUGAACAACAUGUGAAAGCAUGCGACUCUUCGGAGGCGUUACACAGGUGCUGCAUGGCCGUCGUCAGCUCGUGUCGUGAGAUGUUUGGUUAAGUCCAGCAACGAGCGCAACCCCUGUUGCCAGUUACCAGCACGUGAAGGUGGGGACUCUGGCGAGACUGCCCAGAUCAACUGGGAGGAAGGUGGGGACGACGUCAGGUCAGUAUGGCCCUUAUGCCCAGGGCUGCACACGUACUACAAUGCCCAGUACAGAGGGGGCCGAAGCCGCGAGGCGGAGGAAAUCCUAAAAACUGGGCCCAGUUCGGACUGUAGGCUGCAACCCGCCUACACGAAGCCGGAAUCGCUAGUAAUGGCGCAUCAGCUACGGCGCCGUGAAUACGUUCCCGGGUCUUGUACACACCGCCCGUCACAUCAUGGAAGCCGGUCGCACCCGAAGUAUCUGAAGCCAACCGCAAGGAGGCAGGGUCCUAAGGUGAGACUGGUAACUGGGAUG
rnacentral:rRNA from 1 species